GAUGAACGCUAGCUACAGGCUUAACACAUGCAAGUCGAGGGGUAACGAGAGGAAAGCUUGCUUUCCUUGUCGACGACCGGCGCACGGGUGAGUAACGCGUAUCCAACCUGCCCCCAACUAGGGAAUAACCUUGCGAAAGUAAGACUAAUACCCUAUAAUUUCCACAGAUGUCAUCUGACGAGGAAUAAAGAUUUAUCGGUUGUGGAUGGGGAUGCGGAUGAUUAGCUUGUUGGCGGGGUAACGGCCCACCAAGGCAACGAUCAGUAGGGGUUCUGAGAGGAAGGUCCCCCACAUUGGAACUGAGACACGGUCCAAACUCCUACGGGAGGCAGCAGUGAGGAAUAUUGGUCAAUGGGCGGAAGCCUGAACCAGCCAAGUAGCGUGCAGGAUGACGGCCCUAUGGGUUGUAAACUGCUUUUAUACAGGAAUAAAGUUAGCCACGUGUGGUUAUUUGUAGGUACUGUAUGAAUAAGGACCGGCUAAUUCCGUGCCAGCCGCCGCCGUAA
rnacentral:rRNA from 1 species